UACGUAGGGUGUAAGCGUUGUCCGGAAUUAUUGGGCGUAAAGAGCUCGUAGGCGGUCUGUCGCGUCGGCUGUGAAAACCCGAGGCUCAACCUCGGGCCUGCAGUCGAUACGGGCAAACUAGAGUACUGCAGGGGAGACUGGAAUUCCUGGUGUAGCGGUGAAAUGCGCAGAUAUCAGGAGGAACACCGGUGGCGAAGGCGGGUCUCUGGGCAGUAACUGACGCUGAGGAGCGAAAGCGUGGGGAGCGAACAGG
rnacentral:rRNA from 1 species